UUAAGUCAACAGUUUUCUUAAGCAUCUCAUCAACAACUUUAAUUGAACAGUAUCUUCAUAACACAACCGAAAGAUCAAAUUUAUAUUGCUGGUGAAUUCGAUCUCGUCCUAAAUGACUUUGCUGUACCUCUCUAUGAAAUUCGCUUUGUGAGUUCCAUACAUUUUAGCAAUCACCAAAAUAAAUUU